CCACCUGGUCACCAGGCAUGGACACCUGCUUGUGGUGAGUCUUUACGCUGAAUAUACAUACUCAGUUGUCGAAUUCUUCACGUGCCCUAGGAGUGUGUGGAGGUCAUGGUCUGGGUCG